rnacentral:rRNA from 1 species
CUUGACAUGCACGGAAUUUAGCAGAGAUGCCUUAGUGCCUUCGGGAACCGUGAGACAGGUGCUGCAUGGCUGUCGUCAGCUCGUGUUGUGAAAUGUUGGGUUAAGUCCCGCAACGAGCGCAACCCUUAUCCUUUGUUGCCAGCACGUAAAGGUGGGAACUCAAAGGAGACUGCCGGUGAUAAACCGGAGGAAGGUGGGGAUGACGUCAAGUCAUCAUGGCCCCUACGGCCAGGGCUACACACGUGCUACAAUGGCGCAUACAAAGAGAAGCGACCUCGCGAGAGCAAGCGGACCUCAUAAAGUGCGUCGUAGUUCGGAUCGGAGUCUGCAACUCGACUCCGUGAAGUCGGAAUCGCUAGUAAUCGUAGAUCAGAAUGCUACGGUGAAUACGUUCCCGGGUCUUGUACACACG